GUAUUGUAUGAAAGGAGAGAAGGUUAGCGCUCCCCUUGACAAGGAUGGAAAAGGUCCUUGGGCUUAACAACAUGUAUACAGUUAAAGCAUUGCCACCUACUUCUUGGCAUCUAACCAAGUAAGGAA